ACAAUGGGCGCGGCGCCCGAGCCCCUGACAGCGCCAUAAAUUGGCCGUGCAAAGCCGAGCGCUAGGUGGUCCCCCCUGGAGAAAAGAGCCGCCGCCGAGGGCGCGAAAAGGCGAGUCCGGGAGCCCGCCAGGGAGCGAGUGGCGCGUUUUCCAGAUCACCUUGUUGGAACUUAGCGUAGCAGAGGAAGAACACCAUGGAAUAAGGAGAAAGGAGAUACAAGUAGCCUCUCCAGGAAGAAUGUGACUGAAUACUUUUUAUACAAAACCACAAAAUUAGAUAAAUAUGUAUUUAAGUGUUAUUCCUGAAAGCUGGAGAAAGAAAUGUUACUUCUAAGAAUUGUUUAGCGAAGGAAUAAGAAAAUGUGAUGCUUGGAAGAAAAAACACACUGCCGAGAGGCCUUGCUGCUGAGUGUGCUGAACAAUAGACAACCUCUAAGGAUGCUCGCCUGCAAUUCCGGCUCUGCCAUCAAUUCACUGUAUGCCUUUGGAAACUUGAAAAUUACACAUCUGACUUAAGUCUGUGGGAGCCACAGUGCUGUAGAGGGUCUUGCACUGGCAAUUG
rnacentral:lncRNA from 1 species